UACAGAGGUGGCAAGCGUUGUUCGGAAUUACUGGGCGUAAAGCGUGCGCAGGCGGUUUUGUAAGUCAGAUGUGAAAUCCCCGGGCUUAACCUGGGAACUGCGUUUGAAACUACAAGGCUAGAGUGUGGCAGAGGGGGGUGGAAUUCCGACGUGUAGCAGUGAAAUGCGUAGAGAUGUGGAGGAACACCGAUGGCGAAGGCAGCCCCCUGGGUUAACACUGACGCUCAGGCACGAAAGCGUGGGAGCAAACAGG
rnacentral:rRNA from 1 species